rnacentral:piRNA from 1 species
UGGUCAUCUCUACAGCUUGAGAACGCCAA